rnacentral:rRNA from 1 species
CCUACGGGAGGCAGCAGUGGGGAAUUUUGGACAAUGGGCGAAAGCCUGAUCCAGCCAUUCCGCGUGCAGGAUGAAGGCCCUCGGGUUGUAAACUGCUUUUGUACAGAACGAAAAGGUUUCUACUAAUACUAGGGAGCUCAUGACGGUACUGUAAGAAUAAGCACCGGCUAACUACGUGCCAGCAGCCGCGGUAAUACGUAGGGUGCAAGCGUUAAUCGGGAAUUACUGGGCGUAAAGCGUGCGCAGGCGGUUAUAUAAGUCAGAUGUGAAAUCCCCGGGCUCAACCUGGGAACUGCAUUUGAGACUGUAUAGCUAGAGUGCGGUAGAGGGGGAUGGAAUUCCGCGUGUAGCAGUGAAAUGCGUAGAUAUGCGGAGGAACACCGAAUGGCGAAAGGCAAAUCCCCCUGGACCUGUACUGACGCUCAAUGCACGAAAGACGUGGGGAGGCAAACAAGGAUUAGAUAACCCUCGGUAGUCCACGCCCUAAACCGAAUAGUNUACUAGUUGGUUUGGGUUCGGUUUAACUUACGUACUACUACGUAAACGUAAACGAACGUAACGUAACCGGUACGGUAAGGUUAAGGUUAACCGGUACCCGGUCCGGGGUACGGGGUAACGGGGUACCCGGGGACCCGGAACCGGUUAAGGGUUAAAACGUUUAAAAAACGUUUAAAAGUUAAAGUUAAGGUUAACGGGUACCGGUUCGGUAGGAACGGUACGGUUACCC